rnacentral:tRNA from 1 species
GGGCGUUUAGCUCAGUUGGCUAGAGCGCUUCCUUCACACGGAAGAGGUCACUGGUUCGAGUCCAGUAACGCCCA